AUUGAACGCUGGCGGCAUGCCUUACACAUGCAAGUCGAACGGUAACGGGCCUUCGGGUGCCGACGAGUGGCGAACGGGUGAGUAAUACAUCGGAACGUGCCCGAUCGUGGGGGAUAACGAGGCGAAAGCUUUGCUAAUACCGCAUACGAUCUACGGAUGAAAGCAGGGGACCGCAAGGCCUUGCGCGGACGGAGCGGCCGAUGGCAGAUUAGGUAGUUGGUGGGAUAAAAGCUUACCAAGCCGACGAUCUGUAGCUGGUCUGAGAGGACGAUCAGCCACACUGGGACUGAGACACGGCCCAGACUCCUACGGGAGGCAGCAGUGGGGAAUUUUGGACAAUGGGCGCAAGCCUGAUCCAGCCAUGCCGCGUGCAGGAUGAAGGCCUUCGGGUUGUAAACUGCUUUUGUACGGAACGAAAAGCCUUCUUUUAAUACAGGAGGGUCAUGACGGUACCGUAAGAAUAAGCACCGGCUAACUACGUG
rnacentral:rRNA from 1 species